rnacentral:rRNA from 1 species
AUGGUGUGUGUGCUAUGCGUGGGUGUUAACCUAGAAGCCAACUAUGCUCAGAGGCCAACCCAGAAGCGAACCCUUUGCAUGGGUGCUCCGGGGGGUUUAUAUAGGCCUACCCCCCGGGGGUACAAUGGUAAUCCGACUGGGAUCUGGUCCCAGCCGUCAGUGUCUACGCUCGCCGGCUUCUUCGCCGGCUGCUGGGUCCCGCCGGCUGCCGGCUACUUGGUCGACAGGCCGGUCCCACCGCCUAGGGUCUUGUCGGCGGCUGCUUACUGUAGCCGCGCCUCUGAUGAUGAGGGCUUUGUCGAGGUGAGCGUGGCUACAGUGGGCCGCCUCGGGGGCUAUCACUGUAGCCUCACCUCGUCUUGUCUCCUUAAUGGGGCUCCUGCUUCGAGGAAGGGAGUGGCCGGCUUCUGGAGGCCGGCUAUGCUCCUGGCCGACUAG